rnacentral:rRNA from 1 species
AACGGCCGUACCAUGCUGAAUAUACCGGUUCUCGUUAGAUCACCGAAGUUAAGCAUCAUUGGGCGCGAUCAGUACUUGGGUGGGUGACCACCUGGGAACACUGCGUGCCGUU